GACCGCGUAGCUCAGUUGGCAGAGCAUUGGGCUAGUAUUCCAAACGUCGUAGGUUCGAUUCCCACCGUGGCCA
rnacentral:tRNA from 1 species